rnacentral:rRNA from 2 species
AGAGUUUGAUCCUGGCUCAGGACGAACGCUGGCGGCGUGCCUAAUACAUGCAAGUAGAACGCUGAAGAGAGGAGCUUGCUCUUCUUGGAUGAGUUGCGAACGGGUGAGUAACGCGUAGGUAACCUGCCUUGUAGCGGGGGAUAACUAUUGGAAACGAUAGCUAAUACCGCAUAACAAUGGAUGACACAUGUCAUUUAUUUGAAAGGGGCAAUUGCUCCACUACAAGAUGGACCUGCGUUGUAUUAGCUAGUAGGUGAGGUAACGGCUCACCUAGGCGACGAUACAUAGCCGACCUGAGAGGGUGAUCGGCCACACUGGGACUGAGACACGGCCCAGACUCCUACGGGAGGCAGCAGUAGGGAAUCUUCGGCAAUGGGGGCAACCCUGACCGAGCAACGCCGCGUGAGUGAAGAAGGUUUUCGGAUCGUAAAGCUCUGUUGUAAGUCAAGAACGAGUGUGAGAGUGGAAAGUUCACACUGUGACGGUAGCUUACCAGAAAGGGACG